rnacentral:rRNA from 1 species
AUUAAAACCAAUCGGGUUUCGGCCCGUCAAUUGGUGACUCUGAAUAACUAUGGCUGAUCGCAUGGUCUUGAACCGGCGACGUGUCUAUCAAGUGUCUGCCUUAUCAACUGUCGAUGGUAGUUUAUGUGCCUACCAUGGUUGUAACGGGUAACGGAGAAUAAGGGUUCGACUCCGGAGAGGGAGCCUGAGAAACGGCUACCACAUCCAAGGAAGGCAGCAGGCGCGCAAAUUACCCACUCUCGGCAUGAGGAGGUAGUGACGAAAAAUAACGAGACCGUUCUCUCUGAGGCCGGUUAUCGGAAUGGGUACAAUUUAAACCCGUUAACGAGGAUCUAUGAGAGGGCAAGUCUGGUGCCAGCAGCCGCGGUAAUUCCAGCUCUCAAAGUGUAUAUCGUCAUUGCUGCGGUUAAAAAGCUCGUAGUUGGAUCUGCGCCUCAGGACUUGGUCCGCCCACUGGGCGAGAACUGGGCUCCUGGGCUAGUACUGCUGGUUUUCCCUACGUUGCCUUCAUCGGUCGCGUAGGGUGGCUAGCGAGUUUACUUUGAAAAAAUUAGAGUGCUUCACGCGGGCUUAUGUCUGAAUACUCGUGCAUGGAAUAAUAGAAUAGGAUCUCGGUUCUAUUUUGUUGGUUUUCUGAUCUGAGAUAAUGGUUAAGAGGGACGGACGGGGGCAUUCGUAUCGCUGCGUGAGAGGUGAAAUUCUUGGACCGUAGCGAGACGUCCGACUGCGAAAGCAUUUGCCAAGAAUGUCUUCAUUAAUCAAGAACGAAAGUCAGAGGUUCGAAGG